rnacentral:tRNA from 1 species
UUAAAGAAAUAUGUGAAUCGAGAGAAAGCUUCUAACUUUCUUCCCUAGCGGGGAAGCUCCGUUAAUAUUUCU